rnacentral:misc_RNA from 1 species
UUUCCGUAGGUGAACCUGCGGAAGGAUCAUUCAUAAUAAGUGUUUUAUGGCACUUUUUUAAAUCCAUAUCCACCUUGUGUGCAAUGUCAGGGUUGAUUUUUCUCUCGAGAGGAUCAACCCCAAACAUAACUAUAUCUCAACUCUUUGUCUGAAAAAUAUUAUGAAUAAAACAAUUCAAAAUACAACUUUCAACAACGGAUCUCUUGGCUCUC